rnacentral:rRNA from 1 species
UACAGAGGGUGCGAGCGUUAAUCGGAAUUACUGGGCGUAAAGCGUGCGUAGACGGUUAUUUAAGUCGGAUGUGAAAGCCCCGGGCUCAACCUGGGAAUUGCAUUCGAGACUGAAUAGCUAGGGUGCGGUAGAGGGAAGCGGAAUUUCCGGUGUAGCGGUGAAAUGCGUAGAUAUGUGGAGGAAUACCGAUGGCGAAGGCAGCCCCCUGGGAUGACACUGACGCUCAUGCACGAAAGCGUGGGGAGCAAACAGG